rnacentral:lncRNA from 1 species
GAACUGACUUAAAAGUUGCUGGUGCUAUCAAGGAGAACUCGGCUGGCUCUUGACCAGCCUUUGGAUGGGACCCUAUGCGUCAGUCUUAGGAGCAUGUGCUUCAGAGGCCAGUGCCUGGAUUCACAGCUUCCAUCCAACACUGUGGUCUGGGCCUUCUCCCCUGAGUGACCUUGGACAAGUUACAACUCUGUGCUUCAGUUACCCUGUCUACCACUGGAUGGCGACGAAGACUGACAGGUUGCAGCCCCCCAGAUGAAGCAGGAACUGGGGCUGGGCCCAGGUCCAGGCGUAGCAGCUCUGGAGGAGAUGUAAUUCGUUGAGGACUACAGAAAAUGCCACCAGCCAAACCACCCCGUAUCAGUCUUUCGUCCACAGUUAGUAUGUGAGCUCUACACAGUGAAAUGGAGUUAGUUGGCCGAAAGCAGUCUGUUACCAUGAUUGAUUUUUGAAAAAGGCCUUGUGAGGUAGGCAUGGCAGGCAUUAUUGCCCCCAUUUCACAGCUGAGCAAACGGAGCUUCAGAGAGGUUUGGUGGAAGUCCUGUCUGUGAUGAUUUGGGGAGAACCUGGGCUUCUUUUACAAAUCCCCAGAUUUCCAGGGAAUGUUUCCUUACCUACCCACUCCCUCCCCAACCCCAGUCACACAACAAAGGACACAUGGAAAUAAGAGAGCAGGUCAUCCGUGAAGCCAUCCAAUGUAGUGCCUUUGUUAGAGGUGACAGAGCCCUAGCUCAAGAAGCAGCGUUUGGAGAGAACGAGAGAGAGGACGCAACUCAGAGAAUUUACAAGGACUGCCAAGAAUGAGACCUGCGUAGCAACCCUCCUCCCAGUUUUCAACUAUACCUGAGCGUUAGGAUAGAAGGCGCUGACGUCAGCGUUGCCAUGAUCUUGCAUGAUAUUUUUACAGUGCAGGCUCCCUCCUGCUGCCUACCUGGAUCCCUCUUCCGUGUCUGAAUUGUCCCAAAACACAGGAGCCCAAGGGCUUUUAUUUUUUCACUUGGAAAGCAA